GCACAUAAACAUCAGUUAUACACAUUCAAUUCUGGUAGCUAUUUUGAGAUUAUUUUAUUGUUUUGUUCAUGCAUAGUAUUCUUAUUCUGAUAUAAAUAAAAUGAUUUGGAACAAACAUGAUUUAUACCUAUCCUUUCUUAAAAUUUCCGGUUAUGAAUAUACGAGUUAUUAAGAAACUAUGGUUUCAACUCCCUCAUUUUUGUAAGAUGGAUGUGGGCAUUAUUUUUAGAUUCUUUCAGUUCAUACAACUCUUCAAAUGUUUCAGUUCUUAUAAAUCAUUGGCCUUCAAAUGUAUGGCUCUGAACGUUUUCGUUAAAGGUUAGUUAAUCCAGAAAAGUGCUCUUCGACUAUCAAACCCUUGAGAUGCAAUGAAAAAAAACACAAAAAAAAAAACAAAACAGAAAAGCACUGGCCUUUAUAAA
rnacentral:lncRNA from 1 species